rnacentral:piRNA from 1 species
UACUAAUGCAGGUUGUAUGCCAGAAGUAAA